ACAAAAAAACCAAAAAGACGUAAUAAAUAGCAUUAAAAUCAAUUCUAAAGCAUUUAAAUAUUUCCGCUUGUCCUGUGCAAAUCAAAUCAUCGUGGACUUGGGUGUAUUAUUGAAGGGAAAUUCGCAUUUAAAAAUCUUUAAAAAAAAAUCAGAAACUAAAAAAGUACAAGAAAAAAAAAAAAUUUUUUUUUUUUUUUUGCAAUUGCAUGCUGAGUUAUUUUCAAGGCGCCCCGUUUUCCUUAUUUCAUGGAUGCUCUGUUCAAAUUGAAAUGAAAUUGAAAGAAAAAGCGCACAAUUUAUCUCGAUUGACUGUGUUUUUUUUUUAUGUGUGUGUGUGUGUGUGUUGUGUUAGUGCUUUUGAAAUUCAGAAAUAAUUCGUUAUACAAUCAUUAAACAAAAAAAAGGAAAAAAAAAAGAAAACAAUAAUAACAAAAUCAAUUUGUUGUUUAUGAUUACGUUUCAUUAACGCUGUUUUACAUACAUUUAUAUGUUUAUGCGUAGUUGUUGCGUUAUUAUGGCUGCUUGCCUCUUUGUUGUUUUUUAAAUUUAUUUUAAUUGAACUUUACAUUUGUGUGUGUGAAUGUGCGUGCUUACAUCUGGAUGCUGUUUGUUUUUUUUGUUUUUUUUUUUUUUCAACGCGUUACUACAACCCACGCAAGGUUUUAAUAAGGGAGGGAGAAUUUCAAAACAACUUAUCCUAAAAGAAUAAGACAGAGAAGAGAAACAAACAAAGAGAUUGUGUCUCUGUGUGUUUGUGUGUAAUAUCAAGGAUAUAGAUUUUUCAUAGCUUGCGAUGCGUCGACACCGUUGGGCGUUUAAAUAAUCUACAAAUAGCAAAAAACUCUUACGUUCCCGUAGUUAGAUCUUCUUCUUGGAGCAUUUUGCUUUGCAUUUGUUCCUUUUUGGUGCAAAAAAAAAAAGAAAAAAAGAAAAAA